rnacentral:rRNA from 1 species
UACAGAGGUCCCGAGCGUUGUUCGGAUUCAUUGGGCGUAAAGGGUGCGUAGGCGGCGGGGUAAGUCUGAUGUGAAAUCCUGGGGCUCAACCCUGGAACUGCAUUCGAUACUGCCGUGCUUGAGGACUGGAGAGGAGACUGGAAUUUACGGUGUAGCGGUGAAAUGCGUAGAUAUCGUAAGGAAGACCAGUGGCGAAGGCGGGUCUCUGGACAGUUCCUGACGCUGAGGCACGAAGGCCAGGGGAGCAAACGGG